AUGCCAUUUUUCCAUUGUUACAUUGAAGACAUUUCUGAAAUAUAGUAACUUCAAAUAAUCAUUGAUUUUUCACUGUUCUGUGUUUGGUAGUUUGGAUUACGGGUUGUCCUGCAGAUACUGACUGAGCUUCCUCAAAUGCCUGGUGUCUCAAUCAGGAUGCUCAGGACUCACACUGAAGUGAAGAACUCUGCGUGCUGGACAGACUCAUCUACGAGCCCAUAAGCACAGAAUGUAUCAACAUGAGAUUCUGAGAAGAAAUCCUCCAAUGCAGAGGCCAAUCAAGGUUAAAUGAAAUCAGCCCCAACCUCAGUCUUACAGCCUGUAAGAAACCAAAGAAUCCACUGCUCCUCUCCCCAUAGCCAACUUUUGUGACUUCGAUCCCGGGCAGGGCAAAGGGGCUGAAUUCUUGCUUCCUCUGAGUUCUGUCACAGUGUGUCCUACAUCCCUUAGUCACCUCCUGCUCUUAGCCAGUGCUAACCAUGAUGGGACCCAUUUCCUGUCUUUGGUUUAUUUCCAUUCCUCGAAGCAGUUGGAAAGUGUUGGUGUGUAUAGAAAACAACCAAAGACUGGGGUGAUGGAGAGCGACUUACAUAAAUGUAAUAGUAAUCUAACACUGUAUAGACAUUCUUGUUCUUAAAAUUAAUUUGACUUGUU